GGGGUUGUAGCUCAGUGGUAAAGCACUUGCCUCGAACGCAUGAGGCCCUGAGUUCAAUCCUCAGCACCACA
rnacentral:tRNA from 1 species